GAUGAACGCUGGCGGCGUGCCUAAUACAUGCAAGUCGAGCGAACAGAUGAGGAGCUUGCUCCUCUGACGUUAGCGGCGGACGGGUGAGUAACACGUGGAUAACCUACCUAUAAGACUGGGAUAACUUCGGGAAACCGGAGCUAAUACCGGAUAAUAUAUUGAACCGCAUGGUUCAAUAGUGAAAGACGGUUUUGCUGUCACUUAUAGAUGGAUCCGCGCCGCAUUAGCUAGUUGGUAAGGUAACGGCUUACCAAGGCAACGAUGCGUAGCCGACCUGAGAGGGGGCUGGCCCACACGGAACGUGGAACGGGGCACAACCCCACAGGGGGGGGAGAGGGGGGAAAUCUUCCGAAAGGGGCGAAACCCUCAGGGGAAAGCCGCGGGGGAGGAGUAAGUGUUUUGGGAUUAAAAAACUUUUUUUAUGGGAAAAAAAGAAUGGGAAGGGAAAUAUCCACCUUUGAACGUAACCUACCAGAAAGCCACGGGCAAACAAGUG
rnacentral:rRNA from 1 species